rnacentral:rRNA from 1 species
AUUGAACGCUGGCGGUAUGCUUAACACAUGCAAGUCGAACGGAAACGAAACUAGCUUGCUAGUAGGCGUCGAGUGGCGGACGGGUGAGUAACACGUGAAUAAUCUGCCCUCGAGAUCGGGAUAACCUGAGGAAACUUAGGCUAAUACCGGAUAAGACCACAUUUCAUAUGGAAUGUGGGAAAAGGAGUCUCAAUCUUCACUCGAGGAUGAGUUCGCGGACCAUUAGCUUGUUGGUGAGAUAAAAGCUCACCAAGGCAACGAUGGUUAGCCGGCCUGAGAGGGCGAUCGGCCACACUGGAACUGAGACACGGUCCAGACUCCUACGGGAGGCAGCAGUGGGGAAUAUUGCGCAAGUGGGACGAAAGCCUGACGCAGCAACACCGUGUGAGCGAUG